AGACACACAGGGAAAAAUCCCUUUUGGAAAAAUACAGCUGAGACCAGCAGGAACACUACUUAAAAUCUCAGGAUACAGCUACAAUGAUUCAGGAAGAAUAUGAAACUCAUAUCUCCAGGUAUGCAUACUGUUUCCAAGAAAAUGACAUAGAUGAAUCCAUAAAGUCACCAGGAGUGAAGUUCAGGUCAAAGGACAUUUAACUUCUUAUUGAAAUCAUUACCUCUUCUGAAUGAACUCCGGAAUAAGCUUCUAAGCCAUUGUGACAAGAAUAUCAACCAAAUUCUUUUUACAAGCAAGACAAG